rnacentral:rRNA from 1 species
GAUGAACGCUGGCGGCGUGCCUAAUACAUGCAAGUCGAACGCACAGCGAAAGGUGCUUGCCCCUUUCAAGUGAGUGGCGAACGGGUGAGUAACACGUGGACAACCUGCCUCAAGGCUGGGGAUAACAUUUGGAAACAGAUGCUAAUACCGAAUAAAACUUAGUGUCGCAUGACCCAAAGUUAAAAGGCGCUUCGGCGUCACCUAGAGAUGGAUCCGCGGUGCAUUAGUUAGUUGGUGGGGUAAAGGCCUACCAAGACAAUGAUGCAUAGCCGAGUUGAGAGACUGAUCGGCCACAUUGGAACUGAGACACGGCCCAAACUCCUACGGGAGGCAGCAGUAGGGAAUAUUCCACAAUGGGCGAAAGCCUGAUGGAGCAAUGCCGCGUGUGUGAUGAAGGCUUUCGGGUCGUAAAGCACUGUUGUAUGGGAAGAACAGCUAGAAUAGAAAAUGAUGUUAGUUUGACGGUACCAUACCAGAAAGGGACGGCUAAAUACGUG